GGUUAACGCUGGCGGCGUGCAUAACACAUGCAAGUCGAACGAGGGCUUCACUCUCGCAAGAGAGGGGAGUUCCUAGUGGCAAACGGGUGAGUAACACGUGGGCAACCUGUCCUCUCGUGGGGGAUAACACCGGGAAACCGGUGCUAAUACCGCAUGUCAUCGCUGAUCGCAUGGUCGGUGAGGAAAGCAGCAAUGCGCGAGGGGGUGGGCCCGCGGCCUAUCAGCUAGUUGGUGGGGUAACGGCCUACCAAGGCGAUGACGGGUAGCUGGUCUGAGA
rnacentral:rRNA from 1 species